rnacentral:rRNA from 1 species
GACGUAGGGCGCGAGCGUUGUCCGGAUUUAUUGGGCGUAAAGAGCUCGUAGGCGGCUUGUCGCGUCGUCCGUGAAAACCUGCAGCUCAACUGCAGGCUUGCGGUCGAUACGGGCAGGCUGGAGUUCGGUAGGGGAGACUGGAAUUCCUGGUGUAGCGGUGAAAUGCGUAGAUAUCAAGUGGAACACCAGUGGCGAAGGCGAGUCUCUGGACAUUUCCUGACGCUGAGGCACGAAAGCCAGGGGAGCAAACGGG